AAAAAGGGUGACCCGUGUUUGGGAAUCGAAAUCUGAGAACGUUUUACAACACUAAUAGGCGAUAGUUGAGCGCUAGAAAGUUAUCGAAGCCUAUAAAAAAGAAAACAUGUGAUUACAACUCUGAAACGAAGCUUCCAUCCUGGCCUGUUUACCCGGAAUUAACGGAAUAGGACGCAAGAGAUGGCAACGCGGGCGAGGCUAAAAUGCUAAUUCCAAUAUCGAAUGCAGUAGAACAAAGAAACCCAGUUAUUAAUAAUAAUUUAUUUCAUUAGUGAACAGCUGAGAGGACGAUGCGUUGCCACCUGAAAUCUUUAAAAAUCGAAGCGGACACAAAGACACUAUGUUUUGGAUGGUCAAGGAUGGAGAAUUCGUAUUAUCAUUUUCAUCGCAGCUCAAGUGAUAAAGUGACCAACAAGCGGCAUUGUCCUUGCGCCAAGUUGCAGAUUCGUAGGGUUUUAUUGGCUGGCAGCGCAUAGUGCACACAUAUGAAAAUCAAUUUAUUUGGAAACAACAACGAGAAACCCAUAUUAAAAAGAAUCUACCCCGCAAAAAAGCGGUCCCAGCGGAUUCUUCAAUGGAUGCUCGCCUUUUUCGAUUUAUUUUUUUCGUAUUUUGAAUUUUUGUUGUAUUUUAUUUUCUGUUUUUGCCAAUCAAGUGCUACUCGUUUGGUCGAUGAAUAAAUGGCAACUGUAAGUGAAAA
rnacentral:sRNA from 1 species